rnacentral:rRNA from 1 species
AGGCGAUGAAGGACGUGAUACUCUGCGAUAAGCCAUGGGGAGCUGAGAAUAAGCUUUGAUCCAUGGAUUUCCGAAUGGGGCAACCCACCUGACAGUUUGUUAUAAUAGCCUUCGGGCUGCUUAUAAUGGCUGAAACAGGUACUUAUUACCUGAAUACAUAGGGUUUUAAGAGCAAACCCGGGGACUGAAACAUCUAAGUACCCGGAGGAAAGGACAUCAAUAGAGACUCCCCUAGUAGCGGCGAGCGAACGGGGACCAGCCGAGUCCUGAGAGUGACCAGAACGACCUGGAAAGGUCGGCCAUAGCGGGUGACAGCCCCGUAUGGGAAGCUCAAUGGAACGUAUUAAGUAGGCGGGACACGUGAAAUCCUGUUCGAAGAUCGGAGGACCACCUCCGAAGGCUAAGUACUCCUUACUGACCGAUAGCGGAACCAGUACCGUGAGGGAAAGGUGAAAAGCACCCCGACGAGGGGAGUGAAACAGUACCUGAAACCGAACGCCUACAAUCAGUCGGAGCUUGACUGGACUCUAAUAACAAUCUGAAGUAGAAGAUUAUUAUUAGUGUCCAGUCUUGUGACGGCGUACCUUUUGUAUAAUGGGUCAUCGACUUGGUCUAUCUAGCAAGCUUAAGCCGUUAGGUGUAGGCGCAGCGAAAGCGAGUCUUAAUAGGGCGUUGAGUUAGAUGGAUCAGACCCGAAACCGAGUGAUCUAGGCAUGACCAGGAUGAAGGUAAGGUAACACUUACUGGAGGUCCGAACCCACACCUGUUGAAAAAGGUCGGGAUGAGUUGUGCCUAGGGGUGAAAGGCCAAUCAAACUCGGAGAUAGCUGGUUCUCUGCGAAAUCUAUUUAGGUAGAGCGUCAUCCGAAUACCCCGGGGGGGUAGAGCACUGGAUGGUAAUGGGGCCCCACAGGCUUACUGAUCCUAACCAACUCCGAAUACCCGGGAGUACUAGAUGGCAGACACACAGCGGAUGCUAACGUCCGUUGUGAAGAGGGAAACAACCCUGACCUACAGCUAAGGCCCUAAUUCAUGGCUAAGUGGGAAAGCAGGUGGGACGACCAAAACAACCAGGAGGUUGGCUUAGAAGCAGCCAUCCUUUAAAGAUAGCGUAACAGCUCACUGGUCUAAAUAAGUUGUCCUGCGGCGAAGAUGUAACGGGGCUCAAGCCAUGAGCCGAAGCUUAGGAUGCCGUAAGGCAUGGUAGCAGAGCGUAGUGUGACAUAGUUCCAUGUCUCUUUUGCCUCUUUCGGGAGGUAUUGGAGACGCGGAGCUUUCUGUGAAGCUGGCGCGUGAGCGAUCCGGUGGAGAGAUCACUAGUGAGAAUGAUGACAUGAGUAGCGACAAAGAGUGUGAGAGACACUCUCGCCGAAAGUCCAAGGGUUCCUGCUUAAAGCUAAUCUGAGCAGGGUAAGCCGACCCCUAAGGCGAGGCCGAAAGGCGUAGUCGAUGGGAACCAGGUUAAUAUUCCUGGGCCAGAUGGAAGUGACGGAUCUCGAAGAUUGUUCCUCCUUAUCGGAUUGGAGGGCCGUUGAGAGGUUCCUGGAAAUAGCUCCAUCGCUAGAUCGUACCCUAAACCGACACAGGUGGACUGGUAGAGAAUACCAAGGCGCUUGAGAGAACUAUGUUGAAGGAACUCGGCAAAAUACCUCCGUAAGUUCGCGAGAAGGAGGCCCGGUUUCUAGGCAACUAGAGGCUGGGGGCACAAACCAGGGGGUGGCGACUGUUUACUAAAAACACAGGGCUCUGCGAAGUCGUAAGACGACGUAUAGGGUCUGACGCCUGCCCGGUGCCUGAAGGUUAAAAGGAGGGGUGAGAGCUCUGAAUUGAAGCCCAGGUAAACGGCGGCCGUAACUAUAACGGUCCUAAGGUAGCGAAAUUCCUUGUCGGGUAAGUUCCGACCUGCACGAAUGGCGUAACGACUUCCCCGCUGUCUCCAACAUAGACUCAGCGAAAUUGAAUUGCCUGUCAAGAUGCAGGCUUCCCGCGGUUAGACGGAAAGACCCCGUGCACCUUUACUACAACUUCACACUGGCAUUAGGCCGAACAUGUGCAGGAUAGGUGGUAGGCUUUGAAGCGUGAACGCCAGUUUGCGUGGAGCUUCCCUUGAGAUACCACCCUUGUUCUGCUUGAUGUCUAACCGCGGUCCGUUAUCCGGAUCCGGGACCCUGUGUGGUGGGUAGUUUGACUGGGGCGGUCGCCUCCUAAAGCGUAACGGAGGCGCGCGAAGGUUGGCUCAGAGCGGUCGGAAAUCGCUCGUUGAGUGCAAUGGCAGAAGCCAGCCUGACUGCAAGACUGACAAGUCGAGCAGAGACGAAAGUCGGCCAUAGUGAUCCGGUGGUCCCAAGUGGGAGGGCCAUCGCUCAACGGAUAAAAGGUACGCCGGGGAUAACAGGCUGAUACUGCCCAAGAGUCCAUAUCGACGGCAGUGUUUGGCACCUCGAUGUCGGCUCAUCUCAUCCUGGGGCUGGAGCAGGUCCCAAGGGUACGGCUGUUCGCCGUUUAAAGAGGUACGUGAGCUGGGUUUAGAACGUCGUGAGACAGUUCGGUCCCUAUCUGCCGUGGGUGUAGGAUACUUGAGAGGAGUUGCCCCUAGUACGAGAGGACCGGGGUGAACGAACCACUGGUGGACCAGUUGUCGUGCCAACGGCAGUGCUGGGUAGCUAAGUUCGGACAGGAUAACCGCUGAAGGCAUCUAAGCGGGAAGCCCCCCUCAAAACAAGGUAUCCCUGAGGGCCGUGGUAGACCACCACGUCGAUAGGCCGGAGAUGUAAGCGCGGUAACGCGUUCAGUUGACCGGUACUAAUGGCCCGAUAGGCUUGAUUUGA